rnacentral:rRNA from 1 species
GAUGAACGCUGGCGGCGUGCCUAAUACAUGCAAGUCGAGCGAACAGACGAGGAGCUUGCUCCUCUGACGUUAGCGGCGGACGGGUGAGUAACACGUGGAUAACCUACCUAUAAGACUGGGAUAACUUCGGGAAACCGGAGCUAAUACCGGAUAAUAUAUUGAACCGCAUGGUUCAAUAGUGAAAGACGGUUUUGCUGUCACUUAUAGAUGGAUCCGCGCCGCAUUAGCUAGUUGGUAAGGUAACGGCUUACCAAGGCAACGAUGCGUAGCCGACCUUAGAGGGUGAUCGGCCACACUGGAACUGAGACACGGUCCAGACUCCUACGGGAGGCAGCAGUAGGGAAUCUUCCGCAAUGGGCGAAAGCCUGACGGAGCAACGCCGCGUGAAUGAUGAAGGUCUUCGGAUCGUAAAACUCUGUUAUUAGGGAAGAACAAAUGUGUAAGUAACUAUGCACGUCUUGACGGUACCUAAUCAGAAAGCCACGGCUAACUACGUG